rnacentral:lncRNA from 1 species
AAAUAUUGUAAACCCAAAUCUUCCCUCUAUUCUUGUCUUUUUGCAAUUUUCUCUUCUAUGUUCUAAAUCCAAACCCCAUUUGGUACUCUCGUUGAGUGAUUCACCCGUAAGGUUAUUUAGUGUAUUGAUGAAACUUUCACCAGGAUCUUCAUAAACUCAAACUAGUCUUGCUAAUAUUGUCCAUGAUCUUUUCCCUAAAACAAAACAAAUCAAGCUUGAUCCAAAAUCAACUCAAAUUUUACCACUAACCUUCCUUCCUCCGCCAAGCUUGUGAUAAAAAGUUUUAAGCCCAUCGGCCUAAGUAGGCUUAUCAACC